CGGCCCAUAAACAGGCGCCUAUCUUGCUUAGGGUCCGAAUAUUUUCGUGUAUGUGUACCAAUUGAAUGACUAGUUACUGCAAUGUGUUAGUAAGGCAGUGUCCAACCUCAGUUGUUAAAGUUAGUCUUUGUUUUAUCCAGGAGAAGGGAAAUGACUACCCAAGGAAUUGCCGACGUGGUCAGGCAACUAGCUGAAGUAGUGCAGAACUUAGCACAGAAUAGGAAUAACCAGGGAGUUGAUCCAGCUGGUGAGAUGUUUAAGAAGGUGGCCCAAAGUAAGCCUCCUUUGUACCAAGGGGAGAUAGACCCAACUGUACUUGAGAACUGGCUAUGGGAGUUCGAUAAGCUUAUCGUAGCUGUCAAUAGCCCAGAGGAACUUAGGGUCAAUAGUGCUGUUUAUUACCUUAGGGGAGAAGCCGAUUUAUGGUGGCAAAGAUGUGAGAAUGCUUUGAGAGCUACACCUGGAUUUGGAUGGGAAUCAUUCAAGGAAGCCUUAAGGAACAAGUUUUACCCACCAUACCUGAAGAAGCAGAAAGCUCAAGAGUUCAUCGAAUUGAAGAUGGAUGGUAUGUCUGUGACAGAGUACUAUUCUAAGUUCAUAGAGUUGUCUAGGUUUGCACCGGAAGUCACUAGAGGAAAAAUGCUUAUAAGUUGCUCAUCAAAAGUUGCCCUUAUUAAACAAGGGCAACCUUUAUAAACAAAAAAAUUAUAAAAAUAAAAAUAAAUUAAAAUCUCAACUUUCCCUCAAAACAAACGCAACCUUUAACCUAGGCUAAAAAAAAAAAAGAACAAACACUGCUCUCCUUCAUUGCUCGAUCACACACUCGCUCCCUGCAACCAGACGAUGCCAUCUCCCUGCUGAGUGCUGACCGGCGAAGCCACCGACGCUCUCAUCCUUCUCAGGUGACCGGCGAAACCACACUCACACAUUCACACCCUCUCUCCUCCUUCUCAGGCGAAACCACCAUCGGAACUCCGUCAUCCCCCACGCACCAGCCGUCUGCCGGCAUCAAAAGGGCUUUUCUUCAUUUCCGUUUCUCUCACCUCAAGUGAUGUAACAUCUACAGGAACUAGUGACCAAAGUGGUCUUGAUCGUGAUAAAGAUGGAGCCUAUGUAUGCGAUCCAUUAACUUGAAAAGCGAAAGGAUUUUAAUUGCAGAGUCUGAAACUGCUAUUGAGAAGGGAAAGUCAACUUUGGUAAAGAAGAAAUUAAGAAGAAGGAAAAUCAACUUGAAAACAUGUCUUUGAAGCUUGAGGAAAUGGAAAGCUUUGCUUUUGGAACUAACUGUAUAUUAAGUGAGCUGCGACAGCGGGUUAAAGACUUGGUUGACGAGACAUCUAGGCUAGAGCUGCGGAAAACGAGCAGGAACUUUCUCGUGUAAAGCGUGAUUUUGAGUCUCUGAAAUCAUAUGUCAGCAGUCUCAUCAGUGUAAGAGAAACACUCAUUUCGCCUGGGAAACAAUUCCAAACUAUUGAAAAGCUCUUUGAAAGAUGGAUUGUUCAUUUCUGAAUUGGCAGACCCGUAGUGACGCAAGAGAAUAACUAGACUUGUUACUAAACAUUUAUUAAGCACUCGAAGGUUGCAGUUCAACUGAGGCUUUCUCCCUGUCCAUUUUUUGCUGAGAGCCUCAACAGACUGUUACAAUGGUGUAUUGGUGACUGGAAUUAUAAAAUUAUAAUUGCUUCCACUAUAGCAUUGAUAGUCCUAGGAAACUACGUUGAGCAGCUUGGUAUUGUGCGUAUCGUAGAGACCCAGAAAAAUACAACGUUUCCUGGUUUGCAGCCUAAUGGCAAUGCUCCAAUCUCUUGCAAAGAUAAGCCUGUAACACCACAAGAUCAGGCCAACGGUACAAUUAAUGCAGAGUUCUCGACUCCAAGGCGGCUAACAACAGAAGAGAUACCUUCAAUUGUGAAUGAUUUUAGACUAGCUGCUAGGAAUGCCAUAGAAGCUGGUUUUCACAAAUCCAAGGGAGAGGCCCUUCACCAAAGAGGAGUUGGAUGAAGUUCGAGACAAGUGGGCUACUUACUUCAACGAUUGUGAAUUACCCUCAGUGUAAUAAUUAGAGCAGGCUUGUAGUUUUUCGUGACUCUUACAUUAUUUUGUUAUUUAUCGAUUUAAUUAAUUACAUUUGAAUUAAUUCGGAAAUAUUAUUGGAAAUUUGAAAUUUAUAUCAUUUUUGAGGAAUGUCAAGAUGAUGUUUGGUGAAA